UUUUCAUGAAGUUCUGGGCCGCGCGUGGAAGAGGCCGCCGUCGGCGGUGGCCGGAAUCCUACCGGCGUUACUGUUCAUGGCCGGAGUGUCUUGAGGAAGAAGACGAUCCCACGGCCGUUAGAUCUUGUUGACUUUUCUUUUGAUCCAAAGGCCCACAUUUUUUCUGAUUUUCGUUUUUUAUUUAUUUUAUUUAGUCACUUAAGUGACUUGUGUGACCAAUUGACAUUGUUGCAUAUGUGUCACAUGCCAUGUACAUA
rnacentral:lncRNA from 1 species